ACUCCUACGGGAGGCAGCAGUGGGAAUAUUGCACAAUGGGGAAGCCCAUCGAUGCAGCCAUGCCGCGCUGUGUGAAGAAGGCCAAUUCGGGCUUGGUUAAAGACACUUUCAGUAGGGAGGAAGGUAGUGUAGUUAACACCUGCAUUAUUUGACGUUACCUACAGAAGAAGCACCGGCUAACUCCGUGCCAGCAGCCGCGGUAAUACGGAGGGUGCGAGCGUUAAUCGGAAUUACUGGGCGUAAAGCGCAUGCAGGCGGCCUGUUAAGUCAGAUGUGAAAGCCCGGGCUUAAGCCU
rnacentral:rRNA from 1 species